AUUGAACGCUGGCGGCAGGCCUAACACAUGCAAGUCGAGCGAGUAGCGGACGGGUGAGUAAUGCUUGGGAAUCUAGCUUAUGGAGGGGGAUAACUAAGGGAAACUGUAGCUAAUACCGAGUACCAUAGGAUGAGCCGAAGGGGUAUUAGGUAGGUGGUGAGGUAAAGGUUGACAAAGACGACGAGCUCUCGCUGGUCUGAGAGGAUGACCAGCCACCCUGUGACUGAGACACGGCCCAGACUCCUACGGGAGGCAGCAGUGGGGAAUAUUGCGCAAUGGGGGCAACCUGACGCAGCCAUGCCGCGUGAAUGAAGAAGGCCUUCGGUUUGUAAAGUUCUUUCGGUAUCGAGGCGUGAUCUACAGAAGACGCACCGGCUAACUCCGUGCCAGCAGCCGCGGUAAUAC
rnacentral:rRNA from 1 species